rnacentral:rRNA from 1 species
AAUGAACGCUGGCGGCGUGCCUAAUACAUGCAAGUCGUGCGGCAGCAUGCCCUUCGGGGUGAUGGCGAGCGGCGGACGGCUGAGUAACGCGUAGGAAUCUACCCCAAAGUGAGGGAUAACCUCGAGAAAUCGAGGCUAAUACCGCAUGUGAUCUUCGGAUUAAAGGAUUUAUCCGCUUUGGGAAGAGCCUGCGUAAGAUUAGCUUGUUGGUGAGGUAAUGGCUCACCAAGGCGACGAUCUUUAGCUGGUCUGAGAGGAUGACCAGCCAGACUGGAACUGAGACACGGUCCAGACUCCUACGGGAGGCAGCAGUAAGGAAUCUUCCACAAUGGGCGAAAGCCUGAUGGAGCAACGCCGCGUGCAGGAUGAAGGCCUUCGGGUCGUAAACUGCUUUUAUAAGUGAGGAAUAUGACGGUAACUUAUGAAUAAGGAUCGGCUAACUCCGUGCCAGCAGCCGCAGUAA